GUGCCAGCCGCCGCGGUAAGACGAACCGUGCGAACGUUGUUCGGAAUCACUGGGCUUAAAGGGCGCGUAGGCGGGCUGCCAAGUCUGGGGUGAAAUCCCACGGCUCAACCGUGGAACGGCCUCGGAUACUGGCGGCCUCGAGGGAGGUAGGGGCAUGCGGAACUAUGGGUGGAGCGGUGAAAUGCGUUGAUAUCCAUAGGAACUCCGGUGGCGAAGGCGGCGUGCUGGACCUCUUCUGACGCUGAGGCGCGAAAGCCAGGGGAGCGAACGGGAUUAGAAACCCUCGUAGUCC
rnacentral:rRNA from 1 species